AUUGAACGCUGGCGGCGUGCUUAACACAUGCAAGUCGAUCGGUAACGCGGGGGCAACCCUGGCGACGAGAGGCGGACGGGUGAGGAACGCUUGGGAAUCUGCCUAUCAGCGGGGGACAGCCCGGGGAAACUCGGGCUAAUACCGCAUACGCUCUACGGAGGAAAGCCGGGGACCGCAAGGCCUGGCACUGAUAGAUGAGCCCAAGUCGGAUUAGCUAGUUGGCGGGGUAACGGCCCACCAAGGCGACGAUCCGUAGCUGGUCUGAGAGGACGAUCAGCCACACUGGGACUGAGACACGGCCCAGACUCCUACGGGAGGCAGCAGUGGGGAACAUUGGACAAUGGGGGAAACCCUGAUCCAGCGACGCCGCGUGGGUGAAGAAGGCCUGCGGGUUGUAAAGCCCUUUCGGUAGGGACGAAAGCUCUCGACCUAACACGUCGGGAGGUUGACUUAACCUACAAAAGAAGCACCGGCUAACUCUGUGCCAGCCGCCGCGGUAAGAC
rnacentral:rRNA from 1 species